GCCAGGCGUGGUGGUGCAUGCCUGUAAUCCCAGCUACUCAGGAGGCUGAGGCAGGAGAAUCACUUGAACCCGGGAGGCGGAGGUUGCAGUGAGCCAAGAUCACGCCACUGCACUCCAGCCUGGGCGACAGAGUGAGACUCUGUCUCAA
ensembl:misc_RNA Metazoa_SRP Metazoan signal recognition particle RNA